AAAGUAGAAAGAAGAAAGCUUUGGGCCUGCUUUCCCCCACCCCGCAUUACCUGGAAUUUCCUGGAUAUUUGAUGACCAAACAAAUUACAGUCUGGAAAUGUGUGAUACUUGUGAUACAAUGGUGUUAUCAUGCUCCACUGGCUGUGGGCGGGGGAAGGAAAACUGCAGGCCACAAAUGCACACAAGGUCCAUUGAAACAACUGUCCUACCUUCUAAAAUCUGAGUUGUGAAGUAAAUACAGAGUGGACAUUGUUAUCUUCUCUUACUUUGUAUCACAAAGGCCCAGACCUCAUUCCUGGUGAAUUUCACCCCAUUCAGUGCUGCCCUGGUGUGAGGGAGUGAACAGAGCAGGAAGGUGCUUCAGUGGAGAAGGUCCCUUUACAAGCUAUGAUGAUUACUCUCAGCAAGCAUCAAGCAAGUUAAAACCCCUUUAUCGAAGUCUGUUAUGUGCUGUCGACAAGCUUCAGUCUAACAAGAAACCAGUUUUCCAGAAGCCUGCAGUCCCCUGCCUGUGAUCUCUAGAUGUCUCUGUUGUCCCAAUACCAGAACAUAUGAAAAAGGCAGGGUUAGCAGAACACUCGGUAAGUGAUCUUACAUAGUGCUUUGUGCUGCAUCUGUCCAUCUUCUCACCCACAGCUAGAUCAGAGUGGGAUCUAUCUGUUCCAUUGUGGGGAAGAAAUGCAGUUUUGCCAUUCCUGUUCUUUUCCACCAAUGCAUAAAUAUUGUGUUUUAAGCAGAACCAGGAAGGGUGAGGAGAAGAGCAGGUGACAAGUGAGUUUAAAAGAAAAGCUGCUGCUGAAACAUACCGUUGCAGAAAGAACCUUACCAAAUGGUUUGGUUCAUUGUUUCACGCAGUUUGAAUUUGUUUUAAAAAGAAAAGUUCAAGAAAAUCAAUGAGAACUUCAGGUCCUAAUACCAUUUAGUAUCUUUAAAAAUCUGUCUUUUUGCAGCAACAGUGGAAAAAAUCAUGGGGGAAAUGAAUUUAUUUUUCUUUUUUCCCCACACCUCUGCAAUUCAUGAGGAUACUCAUCUCUUGUGCAGCAACAUGCCCAGCUAUAUUCUUGAAUAACAGGAUUCUUGACCUAUAAUCUUUGGCAUGAGCUGGUAAUUAGCAUUGGCCCUCGUAUGAGGGAAUGACCCCUUGGGGUUCAUUCCUGAGGGCUGCGGCAUCCUCCCCUCAGUUGAGCAUCUGCAGUCCUCAGCUGGGAGAUCGAGCCUGUGUCUGUGCAUGCACUGUCAGACUGGGAGGACUGGUCCUACCAUGCAGGGCACAAAUCUGGGGACCACGGGCCCACUGCAUGGCAGCAGCCUGCCCUGUUCCCCCACCCUGCUCCGCUGGUGCAAAACCCACCAAAAUAUGAACCCAGUGCUGAUAGGUGGUGGCUCAACAAUAGAUACAGUGCUGACAGGUAACACUCUCCGGUAGCUGAAAUAAAAAGAAUUAAACUGUACAAAAGUGUGCUUUAAUUGCUAACUCUCUCCUGUCUGCUUGAAUUGUGAGAAAUAAAGGUCUCCUCUUCUGUGAUGAACAGUUCCAGGCAGAGCAGACGUGAAGGGGGAAACAUGUUUGGAAUAAAUACUGAUGUGAAUGACACUUAUUAGCUACAGUGUGGCAUAUUUAUUUCUCUGUAGUUAGCAUAAUAGCACAGCUUGAAAUGAGAAGGGUUCUUUACUCUUGUCUACGUGUGCACGCAUAAAAAUAACAGUGGAUUGUUAUGGCCAGAAUGCAGAUGAUUUUUCUGUCUCUGCAAUUAGCAGCAGUGUUUGGAUGUCAUCACGUGAUGGAGCUGAGCAAGUGGCCUCAGCAAGGCUGUGCUUGGAGAAAAACUUCCUGUGCCAAACAGCAGAUAAGAUGACAGCACAGGAGGUCAGCUCUCCUUCCCCGUCUCCACAGCUUGCUCUGCUUUUGGUGUUCCUAGAAGGGUGAGAUGCCCUGAUCUGACCCCAAGUCACUGCUUUCCUGGCAAACUGCAGGGAGCACUGCUCACUUGCCCAGAGUUUGCUUGGUCAUAGAAUCACCAAUUAUCCCAAGUUGGAAAGGACCCGUAAGGAUCAUGGAGUCCACCUGGGUCCUGCUGGCUGCUGGGACCUGGUGUGCUCUGGUAGUGCUCAAGUGGCUCCAUGGGUACCUGCCUUCGUGUCACCGCUUUGAACAGCUGUAAGAUUUCUCAUCUCUUCUGUUUAUAAUUCAAUGGAAAACCAUGGAAAUGGAAAAAGUUGGACCUUCAGUGCCUUGUUCAGACUUCGAGAAGUUGCCUGUUGCCUUGCAGAGUUGGUUGGAGUAGGGAAGAUAAUGGGUGGGGCAGAUGGGCACUGCCUGAGUUCUGUUUCCUUAAGAAAAAUCAUGAAGUAUUUCAAAUGAGAGGAGCCAAGAGUUCCUGAGGUCGUCUGGGAAUGCUGAGUGCUGUCUUGGGAGCCGUCUUGGAAACCUUUUUGUUGAGGAGAAUAAUUAUAGCGUGGCAGAAGUAUGUACUUGCCAGGUAUUUGCCUGCUUUAUUUGUACUGUAUUCUUCCAUUGCUGAAUUGUAAGAUGAAAAACCUUAAGACAUAUGCCCAGAAGUUACUAACUUCCCAUUCUUCUGACGUUCACAUGACUGAGUGCAGGUUUAGAAAUACUAUAAAAGUGCCAGGCCGUGGCUUGAAAUAUCUCAUUACCAGGUGUAUAAGUCAGGCUGCUUAUAAUUUCAUUCAGAGAUUGUUGAGUUUUUUGUGCUUUUCUUUUCCUGUUGGUCUUCUCAUGAGAAUGCCAAAAAGGGAAAAAACUAUUACAAAAACAACAACAACAAAAAAAGCUGCUUGGAUUGAAAAUAAAACUGCUGAGCCAGCAGUAGCUUUCAAUAGUUCUUGCACUGUUUUGUGGCUCUGACUGUAUGUUGUUUCACAAGCCUGUGGGAUGCUGCAUGGGGUGAGGGUCUCAUACGGGCACGAAGGUGCUGUUUUUCAGCAUGCUGUGGGAUAAUUUAUUUUGAUGCGGGGACCUGACAAGUAGACAGGGAGUAAAACCCCAGGUGCUGAGUUACAGCAGUGAGUUGGCUGAAGUUGGAUAAGUGUCCCCCGUAGCAGCUGAGGACUUGAGGAUCUCCACGUCAGCUGGAGCACGUGCUGCUGGGGAUGAGAGUGUCACAGCUUGUGUACCAGCAGCCAAAGCACUGCCUGCUGGGAAGACUGCCAUCUUGUUGCUGCCUCUCAGCAAAAUGUACCGUGGUGCAGGAAGGUUCCUGCUGCCCGAGGCACACUCAGAGCCACCUCAGUGCCACAAUGGGAGGUGACAGUGCCCCAGAAUGGCCUGUGUUUGUGGACUGUUGCUGUGGCCCUCUCUUCCCUGCUUUCCAUGGCAGGGAAACUUGGAGACAUGGCAACCAAUUUGAAAAUAACAAACACUUAAAGCUAUAUGAAAAGCAUCUUGCAUAGAAAAUCAGUCAGGGCAGGAGAAACAGCACUUAGCAUCAAUAUAAUACAGCUGAAAUCUAUUUCUUAGAGAUAAUCAUCUCUGACUCCAGCAGUAAAAAUAAAGGACAAAAGCUGGAGGAAGGCAGAAAGAGCAGCUGUGGGAGUGAAUCGUGGUGAAAUUAACAUUAAAAACACAAGGAAAGGCAUAGAAUUACCUUAAGUAAAAACAGAGCUGUCUGCCUAGAACAACAGCUGAGAUUAUAUGGGAAGAACGGGACAGUAUGGGGAAUGGUCCUUGUUCAGGUCCCUGUUUUCACACCCAAUCUGAAGUAUAAAGUAAUCUAUGGUCAGUCUGGAGGAUAAGGGCUGAUCCUGGCCAGUGCCCACUCCUGCCUGGUGAAGUUCAUCCCUGAACCAGUGACCUUUAAUAGACAGUACCUUCUGAACUCACCUUUCUCAAUGAAUUUCAGUGAGGUUCACCUUUAAAGGUCUGUGCAAGGAACUCUUGAUCCAAAGCUCAAAAAACUGAAGGUAAGACUUUCACAUGCACAGGUCCACCUCCCACCAGGCUGUGAUGGCUCUGAGAGGCAGUGCUGCCCAAUGAACCCAGCUGAGGGCAGCCCACAGAGUUUGUUGGUGUUGUUGCUGUGUGGGAGCAUGGUCUUGUGCAAAUCAGUCACAAAACCAGGCUCUAUAUGAUGUUUCUCACUUCAGGCUUUAGGUGAUCAUUUACAGAGCCUAUGUUUAAAAAUACGUGUUGGUUUUUAAGCUACAGGUGAUGCCUGGCCUUUUAUCAAAGGAGGCCAAUGUGGGGUGUGAAUUCCUAUGUCUUGUGAUUCUUCUGGGCUGACCUUGAUGAAUUUGUUAUGCUAGGUGUCAUAAAAAUCAAACUGCUUGGUAAACCAUGUGCUAUUUCCCACAACACCAGAGAAGCACCUGGGGCCCCUUUGGUUCUCAGAGACGACACACAAAGGCUGGUGCAACUCUCCUGUCUGCUGCUGACUGCUCCCUUCCAGAGCUGCCACGGUAUUUUUAGAUGCAAAGGAGAAAUGUCUCCUAACUACAUGCUAAUGACAUUUUCAAUGCUUCAGCUGAUAUUAGAAUGAUUAAAGCGUUGUCUGACUUCACAUACUAUUGUUUGUUGCGUUCUGUGGCUGCAUAUAGCUUUUCAUGUGGCUGUGCCUAUGUUCUACCAAAAUCAUUGUCUGGGAGCUGCCAUGCAACAAAGGAUGUUUUUAUCAGAGAAGAUCUUUUGAGUUAUCCUUGGCCACGGCUAUCUGAAAUACAGGCUCAUACACAUAUAUUUUCUCUGCAGGCAGAGAACAGAGGCAGGAAUAGACUUUAUAGGCACACUUCUCAAGUUUUAUUAGGCAA
rnacentral:lncRNA from 1 species